rfam:Streptomyces sp. AcH 505 scaffold00001, whole genome shotgun sequence.
CUUCACGGACCCGAGCAGCAACGGCCGCUCCGGGUCCCGGUCCCUGCCGUACGUGGCGAGCAGCGCCUGCGCCUC